CAGUAGCCGCGGUAAUACAGAGGGUGCAAGCGUUAAUCGGAAUUACUGGGCGUAAAGCGCGCGUAGGUGGUUUGUUAAGUUGGAUGUGAAAGCCCCGGGCUCAACCUGGGAACUGCAUCCAAAACUGGCAAGCUAGAGUACGGUAGAGGGUGGUGGAAUUUCCUGUGUAGCGGUGAAAUGCGUAGAUAUAGGAAGGAACACCAGUGGCGAAGGCGACCACCUGGACUGAUACUGACACUGAGGUGCGAAAGCGUGGGGAGCAAACAGGAUUAGAGACCCGUGUAGUCCCUGUCUCUUAUAU
rnacentral:rRNA from 1 species